rnacentral:sRNA from 1 species
UUUCUGACAAAUUGGCGUAAACCCGGAA